GGCUUUGUGUGGCAUAGUGGUUUGAGUGCUGGACUACCACUCUGAAGACCAGGGUUCAAUUCCCAGCUCUGCCA